CCUACGGGAGACUGCAGUGGGGAAUAUUGCACAAUGGGGGAAACCCUGAUGCAGCGACGCCGCGUGAGUGAAGAAGUAUUUCGGUACGUAAAGCUCUAUCAGCAGGGAAGAAAAUGACGGUACCUGACUAAGAAGCCCCGGCUAACUACGUGCCAGCAGCCGCGGUAAUACGUAGGGGGCAAGCGUUAUCCGGAUUUACUGGGUGUAAAGGGAGCAUAGACGGCAGCGCAAGUCUGGAGUGAAAUCCCAUGGCUUAACCAUGGAACUGCUUUGGAAACUGUGCAGCUAGAGUGCAGGAGAGGUAAGCGGAAUUCCUAGUGUAGCGGUGAAAUGCGUAGAUAUUAGGAGGAACACCAGUGGCGAAGGCGGCUUACUGGACAGUAACUGACGUUGAGGCUCGAAAGCGUGGGGAGCAAACAGGAUUAGAUACCCUGGUAGUC
rnacentral:rRNA from 1 species